rnacentral:rRNA from 1 species
AUACGUAGGUGACAAGCGUUAUCCGGAUUUACUGGGCGUAAAGGGCGUGUAGGCGGUCUUGCAAGUCAGAAGUGAAAUUCCUGAGCUCAACUCGGGCGCUGCUUCUGAAACUGCAGGACUUGAGUGCUGGAGGGGAUAGCGGAAUUCCUAGUGGAGCGGUAAAAUGCGCAGAUAUUAGGAAGAACACCAGUGGCGAAGGCGGCUUACUGGACUGUAACUGACACUGAGGCACGAAAGCGUGGGGAGCAAACAGGAUUAGAUACCCUGGUAGUCCACGCUGUAAACGAUGAAUACUAGGUGUAGGGGGUAUCAACUCCCUCUGUGCCGCAGCAAACGCAAUAAGUAUUCCGCCUGGGGAGUACGGCCGCAAGGUUGAAACUCAAAUGAAUUGACGGGG